rnacentral:piRNA from 1 species
UGAAGCUUCUACAUGUAGUAGAGAUGGU